GUAAAACUCUUCCUUUGCCCUCUGAAGGUUUGCUGAACAAUCGACUGACGAAAGGCAGAUUAAUAGGAGAAAUGGCAUCCAAAUUUAUUAGUGUGCACAGGAGAAAAACCACAGAGUGAUUACCCAGUAUCCCAAUGGGUAACUGGGGAAGGGAAAUGGAAAAGUGUGGAUGAUUUUUGGAGGGUAGUAACUGAUUUUCAGGGGAAUUCAAUGGGCUUAGAGAACAUAUAAUGGCCUGGGACAAAAUCUAUUGGGCCUGAAGAGCCUACGAUGGUUUGUGACAAAAUUCUGUCCAGGUUUGUUGACAGACUUCAGCUUUUCUUCCUGUGUAUUAGUUCGGUUAAUAAAAAUUCAAAGAAGAAAACAGUGGUCAUUGUUUCCUUUAUUGCCAGGUCUAGACUUCAGGCAGACAAGGGAUCUUCAGAGAACAACUUCACCUUGUGCUUUGAGAGAGACAGGAUUGAGCGAAAGGAGGUAGGGGGAAGGUCAAAUAAACCUUAAGGCUGCUUCUUCAGUUCAGCAUAUCGAAGUGCCAUGUUUUGGUUUCUGAACCCCAACAGAGGAAGCAAUUCCAUCCUUCUUCCUAUUCCUGUGGCAUGUUCCUCCUCAUAGGAGGAGGACUGGUUUGUGUUACUAGUGACAUCAAGCAAUACACUGAGGUUUGCUAAGCAGUGGUGAGGUCAUGGCUUCAGAUUGUGGGUGGCACAGUCCCAUGUCUCUCCUGUCUUUUGUUAAUUCGUGGACCUGUGUUGUCACUUGUCCUUUGUCUCCUGGUACUAACUAGACCAGACCAAAGAUGGUCUCUGGCAAGCUCAGUUUAGUUUCUAAGCCCAAUAAUAGGUUACUAGAUCAAUUGGAACCUGCCCUGUGGGCCCAGAGAAAAUUAUUUCAUAAGAAGAAUUCGUUUCAGGCGAGGUCUUCAUUUCAGGAGAGACCUCAGCCCAAAGUUGUGUGCCCCAACAGGAGUUAACAAAGCUCUUAGUUUGGAGAUUAUUUGAUUUUGCCUGACCCGUAUUGCUUCAUCUGUACUUUGCUCUGUAAACAGAACAAAGGCACUCAUCCUUUCUCAGGUGUUAGAAUACUACAAAGGGAAGAAGGCAGUGGUGUGCUAGCAAAUUGGCUGUCUGGGUGGAAAAAGACUGGAUUUGUAACAGUUGCUGAUUUUUCUAAUGUAG
rnacentral:lncRNA from 1 species